AUGCCAGCUUUACAGGGGUGUAUGCCAUGUAAUUUUGUGAUCAAUGUGGUGACUAGCACAAGCAUGCAAACUAGGCUUCGUGAUAAUGCUGAUUUUAGUCCCUGUUCUGCUGUUAUUGUGAUGCCAUGUAAACAUGUUGCUACAGAGAGAUACAUGCAUAUUUUGAGGUACUUCAGUAAGAGUGUUUUGAACAUAUGGUUAUGCUCUAUCCAUCCAUGGUCAUGGUUGCAAUUAUGGAGUAGUCUAGCAUGUAAUUUUCAUGCUCUACUUGUGCUUCAAAAUGUUUCCUGGCAGGUUGUUUACAUGUUAUUCAAUUUUGCCAAGGUUGUUGUAGUUGAUCCGUGUAUGCUACGAUGUUGUUCUUGCCAUGUAUAG
rnacentral:rRNA from 1 species